GGAUGUGAGGGUGAUCUGGCUGCGACCUGUGUCACCUCACUGAUGGCCAGGGUUGAUUCGGCUGAUCUGGCUGGCUGGGCAGGUGUCCCCUUCCCUCCUCACCGCUCCAUGUGUUUCCCACUCGAAGGGGACAGCUUUCCCCAAACAGAGAUGGACCAGUUUUUGGUCGAGGGGAUACAAGUAGCUACCCUCCCCUGCCAGGACCUCCGAACAAGCUUCUAAGAACUAGGAAGAUUCUCAGCACACUCUUUCACUGGGUUGUUUUUUAAAAUCAUACUUCUGAG
rnacentral:snRNA from 1 species